GCUGGGUGCUGUUGUGGGCUUUCAAUCCUUGCAGUCUGCUCUGGAAGCAGAACUGGGUCAGGGAUGCGCUUGCAAUGUAGAAUCCUUGAGGUUUUGGAAAGCCUGUACAGUACUGAAUGUUGGUCAUGUGUACUGGCUGGUCUUUUGUCAACUUGGCACACAAACCAGAGUCCUCUGAAAAGAGGGAAACUUAAUUGAGCAAAUGUCUCCAUAAGAUCCAGCUGUAAGGCAUUUUCUUAAUUAGUGAUUGAUAGGGGAGGGCCCAGCCCAUUGUGAGUGGGGUUGUCCCUUGGCUGGUGCACCUGUGUUCUAUAAGAAAGCAGGCUGAACAAACCAGUCAGCAGCACCCCUCCAUGGCCUCUGCAUCAGCUCCCGCCUCCAGGUUCCUGCCCUGUGUGAGUUUUUGUCCUGACUUCCAUUGAUGAGGGACUGCACUUCAGAAGUGUAAGCUGAAAAAAAAAAAAAAAACCCAAACCCUUUCUUCCCCAACUUGCUUUUUGGUCAUGGUGUUUCCUUGCAAGAAUAAUAACCCUGAAACAUCAUAUAAGAUAAAUUCAGUGAAUUGGUAAGUUCGGUUUUUCUGAUAAGCUGCAUAUUCUCAAUUGAGAGGCGAAUGUAGGGAUUUAUGGUUUGAACCAGGGGAAGAGAAUUUACACAGUGAAGGAGCCUGAGAACGUCUGGGUGGGCCAAGGUGUGGCUUAUUUAGUGAUAUUCUAGAGCAGGUCCUGCUUUAAAUUAGGCAUUAGAGGGCUGUUUAUUUUUACCUAUGAGGUCUUACUAUUUUUCAUCUUCAUUAAUCUGAUCCCUGAGCAUUUACUAGUCUCUCACAACCCUAGAGGGAAACUUAAGUGUUGACUUGUUCACUGAGACUCAGUUCUGUGGACUAAUCUAUUACUCCUGGCUAGUUGGGCACUCCUGGAGUAACGAGGGCAAGAGGACCGACCGUAAAGCACUAUUGAACAUACUCAGUACUGUUCCUUUGAUCUGUGUGGAAUUACAUCUAUGGGGCAAGACUCAGACAAACCAAGAGAAAGCUGAAGACUGAGGGCCUUGGGGGCCUGUGUGUAAGGGAAGCAAGCCUGCCUGGUGACCUGCAAAGUCAGGUUGCAGGCAGCGUUUGGAGCAUAGCCUGCAGGGUGUAUAAAGAGUUUGACUCAAAGCCAGGAUGAGAUCUGACUGUGGAUCUCAGGUGAUAUAGCCCAGGUGGGUUUGCAAAAGGUUUUGAGAGGUGUGCCUGGUAUCAGCCAAUCAUAACAGCUAAAGCAGGUUGGCUCCUGCCUUCCCAGUUCUUCCCCUCAAAGCUUCAUUAUGCAGAUAGAAACCUCUAAGAACAUGGACGGAUCUAAAUAUCACACUGAAGGGAAUCCUUUAGUUAAUUAUUUGUCUUUAAGCUUCCUGAACCAAUCUGGAGAGUUUGGUGUAAGCACAAAUGAACAGGGGUUGAUUGCAGGUGAGUGAGCCACUUGCAGGCCUGCAGGGAACAGCUGUACGGGAUUCCUGCUGCCUACUACCUGCCACCUGCCUACCUGCUUCUCUUGUGUUUGGUUUCCAUGACUCUGAGUGAGUGGGGGAGGGGAAGAGGUGGGAUGGCUCCCGAGUACGUCCUGGUUCUCUCGGCAUCAGGGCCCUGCAGAGGAGGACAGGGCUGGAGAUGGUGGUCAAGAGCAAGGAGGUGGUCAAGAGCAAGGACGUGUCUAGAUCCUUGUCUGUGCUAAAGGCUGGAAGGGGAGCAGUUACCAUGGGGAGCAGUGCUGAAAUGGAAGCAGUGUGAAGGCCAGGACAGGGAAGGCGAGAAGGACGGAGGGCAUUUCCUCUCUCUGAAUUCUAAAGUCCUCUCAGAACAAGGUGCUUUCCCCCUCUGAUGGCAGACAGGCUGUCUCCCAUCCUGUCAAAUGGAAUAUGGAAUAUUUUCUCUACAGUUGCUCAGAACUGUAAGCUCCUCUUCCCAGUCUCACCCCCUCAGGGCCUAUGCUAAUUAAUUACACUUGCUACCAGAGAUAGCAGUUGUUAGUGGACAGGAACGGUAGAUGGUCCCCAAACACUCCCUCCCCCAUCACCACGCUAGUCCUCAACCCUGGACGUUCUCCAUUUGAAAAAAAUGUGUGGGUGUGGUGGUCUGCAUGUUGUGGUGUAUACAGUGUAUAUGCAUACUGGUCAGAGGACAGCUUCCAGGAGUCCAUUCUCUCCUACCAUGUGGGCCAAGAUGUUGAACUCAGGUUGUCAGGCUUGGUAGCAAGUGCCUUUACCCACUGAGCUAUCUUGGUGGCUUCUGAUAUAAAAUAAGACUCAAACAUCACCCAUUUUGGAAUCUGGCCAAUUCUAUAGACAGGCGGGCAUCCUCUCCCUGUCUCCACUUGCUAAGUGCUAGGGCUCUAGGGGUUUCUCACCACACAGGGUUUGGGCAACACCCCUGUGUUCUCAAAUAUCUGCUGCACAGUGUGUUGGAAAGCAGUGCCAGAUGUGGUUCAUACUCUAGGAAGCAGUGAGGGCGGGAUGGAUGGUACAAUGAGGUACUUCAGGGCUGUACUAAGCGUAUGCGAGUAACAUGAACUGUGCCUUGCCACUCUUAGGUAAGUGUAGUUAGUGUAGGCCCUGAGUGGGUGAGACUGGGAAUAGGAGCUUUCAGUUCUAAGGAAAGAGCAUUUUAAGCAGAGAGUAUAUAUGAAAAGGCCCUGUGGUCGACUGGAGUGUGGACAGCUUUGGGUUAAGGCGGGUGUUGAAGAAGAGAGGUGAUCUAACCUUUUUUCGUUUUCCCUCUUCAGCUGCUAUGGGAAGAGAAAGACUCAGGUGCUGAAAACCCUGGCUGGGUGGACUGAGAGAGGGCAGUGGAGAGACCCAGGGCAGAAAUGACCGCAAGACUAGGACUAGGUACUGUAGGACUCGGGAAGGAAGGACAUGGAGUCGAAGGUGGCUUCUGUGUUCUCAGCCGAGGUCUAACUCGGUGAUCGAGUCUAUUACGAAGCGUUUAAAAGCAACUGAUAAACUAGGCCAGAGCUGUCUCUGGUCUCUAAGGAGCCCGGAGGAUAUCAUUCUGAAGGAUUUACAAAAGGAGGAAUGAAGGCUUGUAGAAAACCACAGACUAUCCACGCCUUUAAUCCCAGAACUCAGGAGGCAGAGGUGGGAGGUUCUCUGAGUUCCAGGCCAGCCUGGUCUACAGAGAGAGUUCAGACCAGUGAACGAUAUAUAGUGAGACCCUGUCUCAAACAGGAAAAGAGCAAACAUAACCUUGACUGUUUUCUGCUAAGGUCAGUCAGUUCGAGGCCAGCCUGGUCUACAGAGGGAGUUCCAGGACAGCCAGGGCUACACAGAGAAACCCUGUCUCAAAAAAACAAGAUGAAAC
rnacentral:lncRNA from 1 species